rnacentral:lncRNA from 1 species
UUCCACUUUAAACUUUGAGUCACUGCUUAAUGUACAUUGUGUGCUAAACAUGAAAUGUUUUUUGCAAUGGAAAGUAAUAAUUGUACAUUUCGAUUGGGAAGUGCUUCAUGGUUGUGUUUUUGUAUUCUUAUGACUGGGAACCUACUGGUUUAUUAUGUCAGAGUUUAUGGACUGCUUAUCCUUUAACAUCAUGCUGUGUGACUGCUGUCCUUCCAUCGGCUCUAUGCAGUGGUGUAGUGGUGCCUGCAUAAGUGGGUAUGCUCUAAUUUGUCAAAAAGUUCCCAAAGUUCACCACUGUACUAACCUGUCACACUGAAGGCCUAUAGGUUCACCACUGUACUAACCUGUCACACUGAAGGCCUAUAGGUUCACCACUGUACUAACCUGUCACACUGAAGACCUAUAGGUUCACCACUGUAUUAACCUGUCACACACUGAAGACCUAUAGGUUCACCACUGUACUAACCUGUCACACACUGAAUACCUAUAGGUUCACCACUGUAUUAACCUGUCACACUGAAGACCUAUAGGUUCACCACUGUACUAACCUGUCACACUGAAGGCCUAUAGGUUCACCACUGUACUAACCUGUCACACACUUUAGACCUAUAGGUUCACCACUGUAUUAACCUGUCACACACUGAAGACCUAUAGGUUCACCACUGUACUAACCUGUCACACACUGAAUACCUAUAGGUUCACCACUGUAUUAACCUGUCACACUGAAGACCUAUAGGUUCACCACUGUACUAACCUGUCACACUGAAGGCCUAUAGGUUCACCACUGUACUAACCUGUCACACACUUUAGACCUAUAGGUUCACCACUGUAUUAACCUGUCACACUGAAGGCCUAUAGGUUCACCACUGUAUUAACCUGUCACACUGAAGGCCUAUAGGUUCACCACUGUAUUAACCUGUCACACACUGAAGACCUAUAGGUUCACCACUGUAUUAACCUGUCACACUGAAGGCCUAUAGGUUCACCACUGUAUUAACCUGUCACACUGAAGGCCUAUAGGUUCACCACUGUACUAACCUGUCACACACUUUAGACCUAUAGGUUCACCACUGUACUAACCUGUCACACUGAAGGCCUAUAGGUUCAACACUGUACUAACCUGUCACACUGAAGGCCUAUAGGUUCGCCACUGUACUAACCUGUCACACACUGAAUACCUAUAGGUUCACCACUGUACUAACCUGUCACACACUGAAGACCUAUAGGUUCACCACUGUACUAACCUGUCACACUGAAGGCCUAUAGGUUCACCACUAUACUAACCUGUCACACACUGAAGACCUAUAGGUUCACCACUGUACUAACCUGUCACACUGAAGGCCUAUAGGUUCACCACUGUAUUAACCUGUCACACUGAAGGCCUAUAGUUUCACCACUGUGUUUAGAUAUUCAUGUUUCAUUGGAAGUUGAUAGUUGUUUGUUUUUUGCUUCGCUGGUUUCGGGAAGAAGUGAAAAGUCCUCACUGCCCGAGACCAAGUCAAGACCAAAUACAAAUGUAUCCGACACCGAGACAAGACCAAGACACUCAAUAUGUGGUCUCGAGACUGGACUCGAGUACUACAACACUGCUUUGUUGUUUCCAUCAAGUACACAACAUGUAAUGGCCCAUUUGAUUA